UCUGCAGCAGACGAGACACAAACUCAGUGACUUUGUCCAUGCAGCAGCUUCAGUGUUAAGAUGUUUUAAAAAUAAUCGAUGGAAAACCCAUCAAGGGCAGUGAAUUCAGGAGGAGGAGGAAGAAGAGGAGGAAACCACAGAUGAAGAGAUGCAAACUAGGGAAGUGAGACAUCUAUGAGAUGACAAACGCUCCAGCUUCACUUUCUGUUUUAUUGCAAAAAAAAGAAGAGAAACAUUCAUAAAUCUCAAGUUUUUAUGUUUAUAUCCCACAGAAUCGCGGGGCAGGAGCGUCAUGCACUGUGAACAAAGACGACAGACGUCUGAAUGAGGGAAAAUGGAGCGAGUGAGUGGUGCUGACAGGACCACAGAGUGGAAACCACGUGUCCUUCACCUGAAAACAGGCUCUGUGAAGGAAAACUCUCCCGCCUGUGACUGAGGGAGCGUUUACAGACAUCAGUGUCCAUGUGAAGUGAGGGACAGAGGCCCGGGGGGACUCGCGAGGACGGACGCAGCAGAACAAUCGCGUCUUUGAGGCGCGGUGAAAGUCAACGGUCAGACCUCAGAGAUGCAACUGCACCAUGACGACUAUGAUGCAGGAGAAUGUGUCCCAUACUAAAGCGUCAGAGCGUCUCUGGGAGGCCGUUUCCUGUUUGUAGAAGAAGAAGGGGAGAGAUUUCCUUACGGAGCGAGCGCCUGUCUACUGGACACAGUGUUCUACCUUCAUACAAUCGCAGGAACCCAGGGGGCAGCGGAGAGGCCCUUUGCACUCUGAAGUUUCUGCAGACGUAGACACACCGGCGUGCACGGGCCUAAUUGACAAAGCAGAGGACGCUUGUUCGCUCUAGUCCAACCACGGGCGGUCAGAUCACUCGCUCAGAUGAUAGCAGGAAGGAUUUAACCCUACAUGUUCACACAAACGAGAGGGAAGUGCACACGUCUGUUUUAAACAUAACCCUCUCUCCGGUUCUAAUUUACUGCUGGUACGUUGCAGUGAGUGAAGUUAUGAGUAUCGCAGCUGCUGCUGCUGCUGCUGCUGCUGCUGCU